rnacentral:rRNA from 1 species
UUGAACGCUGGCGGCAUGCCUAACACAUGCAAGUCGAACGCGAAAGGGGGGCAACCCCCGAGUAGAGUGGCGGACGGGUGAGUAAUACGUAGGAAUCUGCCCAAUAGUGGGGGACAACUUAGGGAAACUUAAGCUAAUACCGCAUAAGCACUAUGGUGGAAAGCAGGGGAUCGUAAGACCUUGCGCUAAUGGAGGAGCCUACGUCUGAUUAGCUAGUUGGUAGGGUAACGGCCUACCAAGGCGACGAUCAGUAGCUG